rnacentral:rRNA from 1 species
CCUACGGGUGGCUGCAGUGGGGAAUAUUGCACAAUGGGCGCAAGCCUGAUGCAGCCAUGCCGCGUGUGUGAAGAAGGCCUUCGGGUUGUAAAGCACUUUCAGCGGGGAGGAAGGCGGUGAGGUUAAUAACCUCAUCGAUUGACGUUACCCGCAGAAGAAGCACCGGCUAACUCCGUGCCAGCAGCCGCGGUAAUACGGAGGGUGCAAGCGUUAAUCGGAAUUACUGGGCGUAAAGCGCACACAGGCGGUCUGUAAAGUCGGAUGUGAAAUCCCCGGGCUCAACCUGGGAACUGCAUUCGAAACUGGCAGGCUAGAGUCUUGUAGAGGGGGGUAGAAUUCCAGGUGUAGCGGUGAAAUGCGUAGAGAUCUGGAGGAAUACCGGUGGCGAAGGCGGCCCCCUGGACAAAGACUGACGCUCAGGUGCGAAAGCGUGGGGAGCAAACAGGAUUAGAUACCCCAGUAGUC